GAGUUUGMUCCUGGCUCAGGAUGAACGCUGGCGGCGUGCUUAACACAUGCAAGUCGAACGAUGAUCCGGUGCUUGCGCCGGGGAUUAGUGGCGAACGGGUGAGUAACACGUGAGUAACCUGCCCUUGACUCUGGGAUAAGCCUGGGAAACUGGGUCUAAUACCGKAUAUGACUCCUCAUCGCAUGGUGGGGGGUGGAAAGCUUUUUGUGGUUUUGGAUGGACUCGCGGCSUAUCAGCUUGUUGGUGGGGUAAUGGCCUACCAAGGCGACGACGGGYAGCCGSCCUGAGAGGGUGACCGGCCACACUGGGACUGAGACACG
rnacentral:rRNA from 1 species